rnacentral:rRNA from 1 species
UACGUAGGGUGCAAGCGUUGUCCGGAAUUAUUGGGCGUAAAGGGCUCGUAGGCGGUUUGUUGCGUCGGAAGUGAAAUCUUACAGCUUAACUGUGAACUUGCUUUCGAUACGGGCAGACUUGAGGCAUUCAGGGGAGAACGGAAUUCCUGGUGUAGCGGUGAAAUGCGCAGAUAUCAGGAGGAACACCGGUGGCGAAGGCGGGUCUCUGGGCCAUAACUGACGCUGAGGAGCGAAAGCGUGGGGAGCGAACAGG